rnacentral:lncRNA from 1 species
AUGAACAGACUGGCUGCCCCUGCCUCUGGGCCACAUUUGAAUGGCACAGUUGAGGAUGAGAAACCACCAGGAAUGAUGUCAGCAGGGAAAUGCUUCAAUCAAAUGUGUGUCCUGGGAAUGUCACGCUGGCAGCAAGGUGGAGAAAGACUUACUGAGUCAGGAGAUGAGGCAGGAAACGGGUGCAGAGAAGAGAUGGCAAAGUCUUUCCCAUCUGAGCCAUCAGGCAAACCCAAACAAGCAGAAAUUAGUGGAUGCAAAAAUCCCUGUGCCAUGUGUUGAAAGGUAAGGAUUAUUUACAAAUAUUUAUUUACUAAUUUGGCUGCACCGGGUCCUGGUUGUGGCCUGUGGAAUCUUAGGUUGGGACACUUGAACUCCUAGUUGUGGCCUGUGGGGUCCAGUUCCCUGACCAGGGAUCGAACCAGGCCCCUUGCCUUGGGAGCGCAGAGUCUUAGCCACUGGACCACCAGGGAGGUCCCAAGAGAUAAGUUUAAAAAUAGGCAGUAACAGGAAGAUAGGACUUUAAUGGCGGGUGGAUGAAUAUACUGAAAGCACUGGAGAGGGCAUACCGCAUGUCAGGAAUGAAGCAGGUACGCAUGUGAACAGGCUGGAAGUCCAUAGUAAGAUGGAGUAAAUUGGAAGUGGAAUUGUUGAGAAGAAAAAAAAAGUUGAAAAAAUUCGGAAAAGGAACAGAAUACCAAUUAACAUUUAUAUGAGAAGUCGUGAAAGACCACACAAGUACAAAUGCAAAAAACGGGGGCAAAGAGACCACUGUGCACCCGGGCAGCCUGAGCUUGCUUUCCCAUUGCCGCACGAGCCUCUCCGUCUUCUUUAUUCCCCAUAUUCAGCCCUAAUCUCACCUCUCCUGUCUUCAGCGUCUGCUCCCAAACCUCCACUGUAGCACACGUGCCCCUGUGUUGUAGUCACCUGUUUACGCGGCGCUCUCCACCUUCUUACUGUUUGCACACUUAGUCUUGAGCUCAUAAGAAAGGCCGCAUUGGGGUCUGAAUAGGAUUUGGAGAGGUAGAAAACAUGAAGAGGUAAUGAUGUAAAAGCCAAGAGAUAGGAAAAGCAAAAGCAAGUUUGAGGAAGAUGGAUAUAGUGUUUUGGCCGAAGCAGAUCUGCCUUAAAAGAUUAAUAGUGUUGCGGAUUUACCUGGUGGUCCAGUGGUUAAUGGAGAAGGCAAUGGCACCCCACUCCAGUACUCUUGCCUGGAAAAUCCCAUGGACGUAGGAGCCUGGUAGGCUGCAGUCCAUGGGGUCGCUAAGAGUCGGAUACGACU